rnacentral:rRNA from 1 species
GAUGAGCGCUGGCGGCGUGCCUAAUACAUGCAAGUCGAGCGAAUGGAUUAAGAGCUUGCUCUUAUGAAGUUAGCGGCGGACGGGUGAGUAACACGUGGGUAACCUGCCCAUAAGACUGGGAUAACUCCGGGAAACCGGGGCUAAUACCGGAUAAUAUUUUGAACUGCAUGGUUCAACAUUGAAAGGCGGCUUCGGCUGUCACUUAUGGAUGGACCCGCGUCGCAUUAGCUAGUUGGUGAGGUAACGGCUCACCAAGGCAACGAUGCGUAGCCGACCUGAGAGGGUGAUCGGCCACACUGGGACUGAGACACGGCCCAGACUCCUACGGGAGGCAGCAGUAGGGAAUCUUCCGCAAUGGACGAAAGUCUGACGGAGCAACGCCGCGUGAGUGAUGAAGGCUUUCGGGUCGUAAAACUCUGUUGUUAGGGAAGAACAAGUGCUAGUUGAAUAAGCUGGCACCUUGACGGUACCUAACCAGAAAGCCACGGCUAACUACGUGCCAGCAGCCGCAGUAA